ACCUUACAGAUGCUUCUCUGCCUGUAGACUGAAUGCCAUAUAACUAGGUAGUAUGUUUAGGAGCUAUUCCAUGAAUCCCACCUUACAGAUGCUUCUCUGCCUGUAGACUGAAUGCCAUAUAACUAGGUAGUAUGUUUAGGAGCUAUUCCAUGAAUCCCACCUUACAGAUGCUUCUCUGCCUGUAGACUGAAUGCCAUAUAACUAGGUAGUAUGUUUAGGAGCUAUUCCAUGAAUCCCACCUUACAGAUGCUUCUCUGCCUGUAGACUGAAUGCCAUAUAACUAGGUAGUAUGUUUAGGAGCUAUUCCAUGAAUCCCACUUUACAGAUUCGUCUCUGCCUGUAGACUGAAUGCCAUAUAACUAGGUAGUAUGUUUAGGAGCUAUUCCAUGUAUCCCACCUUACAGAUGCUUCUCUGCCUGUAGACUGAAU